GACAGAGGCCCCAAGCGUUAGGCGGAAUCACUGGGCUUAAAGCGUGUGUAGGCGGACGCCUAAGUGUCUUGUGAAAUCCCACGGCUCACCCGUGGAACUGCUGGGCAUACUGGGCGUCUUGGGCCAACUAGGGGCAGCCGGAACAAGCGGUGGAGCGGUGAAAUGCGUAGAUAUCAAGAGGAACACCUGAGGUGAAGACGGGUUGCUGGGCCGACACUGACGCUGAGUGCGCGAAAGCCAGGGGAGCAAACGGG
rnacentral:rRNA from 1 species